UAUGUGAUCGUCUCUCGCAUAUCAAUAAGCGGAGGAAAAGAAACUAACAAGGAUUCCCCUAGUAACGGCGAGUGAAGCGGGAAGAGCUCAAAUUUGAAAUCUUAAAGGGUUUCCCUUUACGAAUUGUAGUUUAAAGAAGUGUUUUCUGUUGAGGUUUUGGUAAAAGUUCUUUGGAAUAGGACAUCAUAGAGGGUGAGAAUCCCGUAUUUGACCUUUACUUUCAACUUUGUGAUACACUUUCAAAGAGUCGGAUUGUUUGGGAAUGCAGUCCAAAAUGGGUGGUAAAUUUCAUCUAAAGCUAAAUAUUGGCGAGAGACCGAUAGCGAACAAGUACCGUGAGGGAAAGAUGAAAAGAACUUUGAAAAGAGAGUUAAACAGUACGUGAAAUUGUCAAAAGGGAAGCGUUUGACACCAGUGUUGUUUUUCUGAAAAUCAAUUAAAGAACUGUUUAUGCUAAGCUGUUUAGACUUUAUCAGCUAUCUGUUUAGUUUUGAGCUUUUCUUUAAUGCACUUUUCAGUUAACAAGUCAACAUCAAUUUCUUUUGCUGUAUAAAAGCUUGAGGAAGGUGGCUUGAGAUUCGUCUUAAGUGUUUAUAGCCUCUUGCCUAUGCAGUCGGAGAGAUUGAGGUCUGCAGCGUAGAUCCUUCGGGGCUAAAUGCAUUUGUGCUAAGUUAUAACAUUUUAUAGACAACUUGUUGACUAUGAUUUGUCUUGUAGCUUACUCGCUUAUGUUAUUUUACCUACGCUUAGGAUGUUGAAGAUAUGCGCGACACG
rnacentral:rRNA from 1 species